CUACCAUGCAGUCGAGCGCGAAAGGCUUUCGGGCUGAGUAGAGCGGCGGACGGGUGAGUAACGCGUAGGAAUCUACCUGGUAGUGGGGGACAACUUGGGGAAACUCAAGCUAAUACCGCAUACGCCCUAAGGGGGAAAGCGGGGGACCUUCGGGCCUCGCGCUAUCAGAUGAGCCUGCGUAGGAUUAGCUAGUUGGUGAGGUAAAGGCUCACCAAGGCGACGAUCCUUAGCUGGUCUGAGAGGAUGAUCAGCCACACUGGGACUGAGACACGGCCCAGACUCCUACGGGAGGCAGCAGUGGGGAAUAUUGCGCAAUGGGGGCAACCCUGACGCAGCCAUGCCGCGUGUGUGAAGAACGCCUUCGGGUUGUAAAGCACUUUAAGUGGGGAGAAAAGGGUAGGCGUUAAUAGCGUUUACCUGUGAUGUUACCCACAGAAUAAGCACCGGCUAACUCCGUGCCAGCAGCCGCGGUAAUACGGAGGGUGCGAGCGUUAAUCGGAAUUACUGGGCGUAAAGCGCGCGUAGGCGGUUUGUUAAGUCAGCUGUGAAAGCCCCGGGCUCAACCUGGGAACUGCAGUUGAUACUGGCCGACUAGAGUACGAGAGAGGGAGGUAGAAUUCCAUGUGUAGCGGUGAAAUGCGUAGAUAUAUGGAGGAAUACCGGUGGCGAAGGCGGCCUCCUGGCUCGAUACUGACGCUGAGGUGC
rnacentral:rRNA from 1 species